AUUGAACGCUGGCGGCAGGCCUAACACAUGCAAGUCGAACGAGUGGCGGACGGGUGAGUAAUGUCUGGGAAACUGCCUGAUGGAGGGGGAUAACUACUGGAAACGGUAGCUAAUACCGCAUACCAUCGGAUGUGCCCAGAUGGGUUUAGCUAGUAGGUGGGGUAACGGCUCACCUAGGCGACGAUCCCUAGCUGGUCUGAGAGGAUGACCAGCAACACUGGAACUGAGACACGGUCCAGACUCCUACGGGAGGAAGAAGUGGGGAAUAUUGCACAAUGGGCGCAAGCCUGAUGCAGCCAUGCCGCGUGUGUGAAGAAGGUAUUCGGGUUGUAAAGCACUUUCAGCGGGGAGGAGUUACCCGCAGAAGAAGCACCGGCUAACUCCGUGCCAGCAGCCGCGGUAAUAC
rnacentral:rRNA from 1 species